rnacentral:rRNA from 1 species
AACGAACGCUGGCGGCAUGCCUAACACAUGCCAGUCGAACGAGACCUUCGGGUCUAGUGGCGCACGGGUGCGUAACGCGUGGGAACCUGCCCUUAGGUUCGGAAUAACUCCCCGAAAGGGGUGCUAAUACCGGAUAAUGUCUUCGGACCAAAGAUUUAUCGCCUUUGGAUGGGCCCGCGUUGGAUUAGCUAGUUGGUAGGGUAAAAGCCUACCAAGGCGACGAUCCAUAGCUGGUCUGAGAGGAUGAUCAGCCACACUGGGACUGAGACACGGCCCAGACUCCUACGGGAGGCAGCAGUGGGGAAUAUUGGACAAUGGGCGAAAGCCUGAUCCAGCAAUGCCGCGGGAGUGAUGAAGGCCUUAGGGUUGUAAAGCUCUUUUACCCGGGAUGAUAAUGACAGUACCGGGAGAAUAAGCUCCGGCUAACUCCGUG